AUAUUACUAAGCGGAGGAAAAGAAAUUAACAAAGAUUGCCUUAGUAAGGGCGACUGAACCGGCAAGAGCUCGAAAUUGGAAUCGGGGGAUUCAAAGAAUCUUCGAAUUGUAAUCAGGUCCGCCGAAAUACGUACGAUCACUUAAUCAUGUUGAAACAUGAGCCAAGGAGGGUGAAAGCCCCGUGUAGUGUUCGUACGAAACAGGGGGACUCCACAAGAGUCGGGUUGCUUGGAACUGCAGCCCUAAGUGGGAGAUAUGAAUCUUCCAAAGCUAAAUAAGGAUGGGAGACCGAUAGCGCACAAGUA
rnacentral:rRNA from 1 species